GAUGAACGCUGGCGGCGUGCCUAAUACAUGCAAGUCGAGCGAACAGAUGAGGAGCUUGCUCCUCUGAUGUUAGCGGCGGACGGGUGAGUAACACGUGGAUAACCUACCUAUAAGACUGGGAUAACUUCGGGAAACCGGAGCUAAUACCGGAUAAUAUAUUGAACCGCAUGGUUCAAUAGUGAAGGACGGUUUUGCUGUCACUUAUAGAUGGAUCCGCGCCGCAUUAGCUAGUUGGUAAGGUAACGGCUUACCAAGGCAACGAUGCGUAGCCGACCUGAGAGGGUGAUCGGCCACACUGGAACUGAGACACGGUCCAGACUCCUACGGGAGGCAGCAGUAGGGAAUCUUCCGCAAUGGGCGAAAGCCUGACGGAGCAACGCCGCGUGAGUGAUGAAGGUCUUCGGAUCGUAAAACUCUGUUAUUAGGGAAGAACAAAUGUGUAAGUAACUAUGCACGUCUUGACGGUACCUAAUCAGAAAGCCACGGCUAACUACGUG
rnacentral:rRNA from 1 species